GUUUGUUUGGAAUGAAAUCCACUCAGAUUUAAUUUGUCAAAAUAUUUGCAUUCAUUCCUGUUUUCAUUCAUCAAAAUAGGCAUUUAACCUGUUCCUUUUAAUUCUCCUAGUUGCUGACCUUGUUUCAGAGCAGUGCCUGGGGAGAUGGGAUGUGUCCUAUGUCCUUCAGGAGCACUGAGGCUGAAAAGGCACUUUUGGGAACUUGCUCUUUCCUGGGUCUGCACAUGAGGGAGGACUCUUUGGCACAGGGAGUGACUGAAUUUUUCCUAGCUCCAAGCCAUAGCUUUGAAUCUUCCAGUGUGCAAGAUGCAGAUUGUUGUCCUGUGGCUGAAUCCCACCGAGGUAUCCUAAAGCUGGCAGCUCACAGCUUCAGGGAAGAGGAAUGAACACCUUGCUUCAGUUGUCCAGGGAAGAAUGGAAAGAGGGGCCAACCCCCCAGCUGCAUCAGAGUGGCUGCUGAUCCUUCUGCCAUGCUGGGAAAGGGGUUUUUCUAUUGGCCAUGCUGGGCUGCAGACUGGGACAAGCCUUUAGUCGAAUGUGUCAGCCAGGUUAAGACAGAUUAAGUGACUCUUUGAGCAAUUCCAGCCCAGUUCAAUGAGGAAAAAAACAAACCUAUUUGCCUUCAGCAUCACCACCUUCACAGACAUCCAUGGGGACUUCACAAACCACUCGAGUGGGUGUACUUGAAAUAGUUUCUGUUGCAAUGAUCCUAAAGAAAGAAAAGGACAAUCCUGAUGGAUGAAGGGAAAUGGUUAAGCAGAACGGCUGCAGUCUGGCAAAGGGAGUUGCCUGCCUGGCCAAGACCCUCUCUUUUGUUUCUUUGCUUUUUUUUAGGCUUUGCAAAGUGUCCCUGUAGAGAAGAAUUGGGGAAUAAAAUUCCUAAAGUUCC